CCUACGGGUGGCAGCAGUGAGGAAUAUUGGUCAAUGGGCGAGAGCCUGAACCAGCCAAGCCGCGUGAGGGAAGAAGGUACAGCGUAUCGUAAACCUCUUUUGUCAGGGAACAAAGGCGGGGACUAGUCCCCGGAUGAGGGUACCGGAAGAAAAAGCAUCGGCUAACUCCGUGCCAGCAGCCGCGGUAAUACGGAGGAUGCGAGCGUUAUCCGGAUUUAUUGGGUUUAAAGGGUGCGCAGGCUGCCUGUUAAGUCAGCGGUAAAAGCCCGGGGCUAAACCCCGGCUGGCCGUUGAAACUGGCGGGCUGGAGUUAGAGAGAGGUACGCGGAAUGCGCGGUGAAGCGGUGAAAUGCUUAGAU
rnacentral:rRNA from 1 species